ACGAAGCACUUGGUGCUACCAAGUUUUCCACCGUUAGAUCUACCUUUUUGAUCAUUUUUACCCAUUAGAUCAUACUAUUCAUCCAACCACCCACUCAACCCUAGGGGGCCCAUAUCAUCCUAACCACACAUCUCUUAAUCCAAUGGCCAAAAACUUGGUAGCACCAAUGACUUGGUGCUAUUAAUAGCAUAGUAGGCUAGUUAUAUAUAUAUAUAUAUAUAUAUAUAUAGAAUUAGGUUACUAUACUAUCUAUAGUACCGGAGCUCCGAUACUAUAGUCUUGUUUUCGAUCUUAGGAUGUUCAAAUUAACGAUCCACACCGUUAAAUAUGAUCUAGGGUAUAUGAAAUUCUUAGAAAUAAAAUUUUAGUAUUUUUCGAUAUCGUUUACUUAGUAAAUAAAUUAUGUCAAAAUGAACUGUGAAAAUUGAAUAAUCUUUAAAAUUUGAGCGUAAGACUUUUAAAUUCAAGAUUAAGAAUGUUAACCUUAAUAUAGAUAGUUUAAAGUAUUUUUUAUCAAAAUUUGAAGAAAUUUAGAUUCUUCUACACCAUUAAACUCCAAACUCGCUAUAGUAGUUAUUGAAAAUUGACAAUUUUGAAAUGGUUUGAUAAUAAAGUAAAUUAUGUCGAAAAAAUAUAAAAUUUUAUUUCUAAAAACUUUAAAUACCCUAGAUCAGUUUUAACGGUGUGGAUCGUUGAUUUGAACANNNNNNNNNNNNNNNNNNNNNNNNNAAAGAGCCACCCCCGGUGCCAUAUUAGUUAAAUCUCUAUUUUGAACAUAUUGCGAUAAAUUGGUGUCAAUUUUGUUAAAUUUCUAAAAAUCAUUUUUCAUCAACUUAUAUCUUGAUGUUUUUGAAUCAUUAAAUUAUUUUUUAUAUUGAAAUUUUGAUGUGUCGAUGUGUUUUGAAAUUUUAUAAUAUCUUAUUUUCAUUAU
rnacentral:lncRNA from 1 species